UGUCUGACGGCUUUAGCGCGGUGGUCCCACCUGACCCCAUGCCGAACUCAGAAGUGAAACGCCGUAGCGCCGAUGGUAGUGUGGGGUCUCCCCAUGUGAGAGUAGGACACUGUCAGACAU
rnacentral:rRNA from 2 species